rnacentral:misc_RNA from 1 species
GUUAUGAGUUCAUCUAAUAUUCAAAAUUAGAUUAUUACAGCACCUCAGUUUUCAGAUUUAUGGUUACGGUAUACCAUUAGUUGCUCAAAACUGCUCUAUAAUUUAUAUCCCUGCGCCUGGCAACGAGGUGCAUCUAGAUCAUCAAUUCUUCCAUUUUUUAGCUUCAUCGAUUUCUUCUCUGAUACUGUUUCAUGGGUUCCAUUGCCAAGGAAGUAGCCGCUGAGCUUCUCCCUUUCCUCCGGGUCUUCAAUGAUGGAUCAGCAGAGCGAUUAUUGGGAACUCCAAUCGUGCCUCCAUCACGGGAUGAAGACCCAGAAACUGGAGUCUCAUCGAAAGAAAUCACCAUCUCACAGGACCCACCUAUCUCAGCUAGACUGUGUCUCCCCAGGCUCACUGCACCCAACCAGAAACUUCCCAUCUUGGUCUACUUCCAUGGUGGAGGCUUCUGCAUUGAGUCAGCCUUCUCCCUAACCGAAAUCAAAUACAUGAACAGCUUGGUUUCUCUAGCCAAAGUCGUUGCUAUCUCAGUAGAGUACAGGUUAGCCCCUGAAUAUCCUCUCCCUAUCGCUUUUGAAGAUUGCUGGCUAGCCCUUCCGUGUGUGGCGUCGCACUCUGUCAAAAAUGGCGUGGACAAUGCAGAGCCAUUGAUAUCGAAUCAUGGAGAUUUCAAGCGAUUCUUUAUUGUUGGGGAUAGCGCAGGAGCCAAUAUUUCCCAUAACAUGGCAAUGCGAGUCGGCAGUGAAGGCCUGAACGGUGAUGUUAAGCUUUUGGGUACUUAUCUCACCCAUCCUUACUUCUGGGGUUCAAAGCCAGUAGGCUCAGAAUCUAGCAUAGAUAGCGAGCAACAUUUUCCAUACAGGGUUUGCUCAUUUCUUUAUCCAUCCGCACCGGGUGGAAUUGAUAAUCCAAUGAUAAAUCCUGUAGUUGAAGGAGCUCCAAGCUUGGCAGGACUUGGGGGUUCUCGUUUGCUGGUGAGCGUUGCUGAAAAGGAUGAACUGAGGGAGAGGAGUACUUUGUAUUAUAAUGCAGUGAAGGAAAGUGGGUGGAAAGGGGCGGUGGAGCUGAUCGAAGUGGAAGGAGAGGAUCAUAGCUUCCAUAUUUUCAAUUAUAAAACAAAGAAUGCCAAGCACUUGAUCA